GUGGGGAAUAUUGGACAAUGGGCGAAAGCCUGAUCCAGCCAUGCCGCGUGUGUGAAGAAGGUCUUCGGAUUGUAAAGCACUUUAAGUUGGGAGGAAGGGCAGUAAGUUAAUACCUUGCUGUUUUGACGUUACCGACAGAAUAAGCACCGGCUAACUUCGUGCCAGCAGCCGCGGUAAUACGAAGGGUGCAAGCGUUAAUCGGAAUUACUGGGCGUAAACCGCGCGUAGGUGGUUUUGUAAGUUGGAGGUGAAAUCCCCGGGCUCAACCUGGGAACUGCCUCCAAAACUGCAUGACUAGAGUACGGUAGAGGGUAGUGGAAUUUCCUGUGUAGCGGUGAAAUGCGUAGAUAUAGGAAGGAACACCAGUGGCGAAGGCGACUACCUGGACUGAUACUGACACUGAGGUGCGAAAGCGUGGGGAGCAAACAGGAUUAGAAACCCUGGUAGUCC
rnacentral:rRNA from 1 species